AGAGGGUCAUAUUCUCAUGAUUAACGCGAGGGGCUUGCUAACCACACUCAACUGCAAUAUGAACAGCCGAAUACUUCAUUCGAACCGUUGUUGGAGGAGAAAGUGGAGAAAUUGAGAGUGAUUCUGGGUUUGAUUUUUUUGGGGAGGAAAAUUGCUUGGGGGGUUUUUCCCUCCCCCCACAAGAGGCAACGCGUGCGCUGCUCCUUGAAUGCCAACGAUUUAUCGCUCUCCAAAUUAAUCUGGUGAAAGCACUUACUUUUCCCCGAAGAGACCCACCAAAGAGACGAUGAAUUUCCUGACUGAAAGGUUGGCCGGCCACAUUGGGACUGAAACACGGCCCAAACUCCUACGGGAGGCAGCACUGGGGAAUAUUGGGCAAUGGGCGCAAGCCUGACCCAUCAACGCCUCGUGAAGGAAGAAGGCUUUCUGGUUGUAAACUUCUUUUGUCACGGACUAAUCAAGUGACGGUACCUGACAAAUAAGCCACGGCUAACUACUUGCCAUCAGCCGCGGUAAUACUUACGUGGCAAGCGUUAUCCUGAUUUAUUGGGUGUAAAGGGCGUGUAGGCGGGAAUGCAAGUCAGAUGUGAAAACUAUGGGCUCAACCCAUAGCCUGCAUUUGAAACUGUAUUUCUUGAGUGCUGGAGAGGCAAUCGGAAUUCCGUGUGUAGCGGUGAAAUGCGUAUAUAUACAGAGGAACACCAUGUGGCGAAGGCGGAUUGCUGGACAGUAACUGACUCUGAGGCGCGAAAGCGUGGGGAGCACACAGGAUUAAAUACCCUGGUAGUCCACGCCGUACACUAUGUAUACUACGUGUGGGGGGACUGACCCCCUCCGUGCCGCAUCUACGCAAUAAGUAUCCCACCUGGGGAGUACGAUCGCUAGGUUGAACUCUAGGAAUGACUGGGGCCCGCUCAUCAGUGGAGUAUGUGGUUUAUUCACGCACCCUAGAACCUUACAGGGCUUGACAUCCUACUAACGACUCAAGAUGAUUUAGUGCCCUUCUGGGAAAAUAUACACAGUGGUGCU
rnacentral:rRNA from 1 species